CUCACACUUGGGAAGCCAUGAGAAAGCCAAAGAAGCAAUAUUUUAUUCAUACAAUAAACACAUCAAUGGUUUUGCUGUUGUACUUGAAGAGGAAGAUGCACAAGAAAUAUCAAUGCAGAAAAUCCAAAUGUAGUGUUGUGUUUCUGAACAAAGGGCAUGAAUUGCAAACUACUAGAUCAUGGGAAUUUCUUGGGCUAGAGAGUGAUGGAGUGGUUCCCAAUGAUUCCAUAUGGUGAGGGUGUAAUCAUUGAUAACAUUGAUACAGGCGUUUGGCCUGAAUCUAAAAGUUUUAGUGAUGAGGGAAUGUGCCCUGUUCCAUCAAGAUGGCGCGGAAUCUGCCAACUUGACAAUUUUAUUUGCAAC